rnacentral:rRNA from 1 species
ACGAGAGGCCCAAACGUUAUUCGGAAUUACUGGGCUUAAAGAGUUCGUAGGCGGUAUGAAAAGUAGGGUGUGAAAGCCCUCGGCUUAACCGAGGAAUUGCGCUCUAAACUGUCGUACUCGAGGAAUCUAGAGGUGAGCGGAACUGAUGGUGGAGCGGUGAAAUGCGUUGAUAUCAUCAGGAACACCGGAGGCGAAGGCGGCUCACUGGGGAUUUUCUGACGCUGAGGAACGAAAGCCAGGGGAGCGAACGGGA